UUCGAGCGGCAGCGCGGGGGCAACCCUGGCGGCGAGCGGCGAACGGGUGAGUAAUACAUCGGAACGUGUCCAGUUGUGGGGGAUAACCAGUCGAAAGACUGGCUAAUACCGCAUACGAUCUACGGAUGAAAGCGGGGGACCGCAAGGCCUCGCGCUAUUGGAGCGGCCGAUGUCCGAUUAGCUAGUUGGCGGGGUAACGGCCCACCAAGGCGACGAUCGGUAGCUGGUCUGAGAGGAUGAUCAGCCACACUGGAACUGAGACACGGUCCAGACUCCUACGGGAGGCAGCAGUGGGGAAUUUUGGACAAUGGGGGCAACCCUGAUCCAGCCAUGCCGCGUGAGUGAAGAAGGCCUUCGGGUUGUAAAGCUCUUUCGGCGGGGACGAAACGGUUCGUGACAACACCACGGACUAAUGACGGUACUCGCAGAAGAAGCACCGGCUAACUACGUGCCAGCAGCCGCGGUAAUACGUAGGGUGCAGGCGUUAAUCGGAAUUACUGGGCGUAAAGCGUGCGCAGGCGGCUCCUUAAGUCAGAUGUGAAAGCCCCCGGGCUUAACCUGGGAACUGCGUUUGAAACUGGGGAGCUAGAGUGUAAAAAAGGGGGGUGGAAUUCCAGGUGUAGCAGUGAAAUGCGUAAAGAUCUGGAAGGAACACCGAUGGCGAAGGCAGCCCCCUGGGCUAACACUGACGCUUAUGGCACGAAAGCGUGGGGAGCAAACAGGAUUAAAUAC
rnacentral:rRNA from 1 species